AGCACACCCAGAAACCGGCUCGCAGUCUCCCGCAGCCUAACUCCAUCCCGACUUGAACCUGACUAUUUUAUUACAGUGUACUAGAUAGUCAGAAUGACUUCUAUCAAGACACUUAUUUACUUUCUUUGUGUUUUAUACUGCACUGUCCAGUCAGAAGGAGGACCGCUCAGAAGGAGGUCAGUCAGCGAGGUACAAUUAAUGCACAACCUUGGGGAGCGCAGACACUUGCAGGAGAG